UUUAUUGGAGAGGGCAGAGAGGUCACACCCGUUCCCAUACCGAACACGGAAGUUAAGCUCUCUAGCGCCGAUGGUAGUUGGGACCUUGUCCCUGUGAGAGUAGGACGUCGCCAAGC
rnacentral:rRNA from 1 species